rnacentral:rRNA from 1 species
AUUUGAAACUGGCAAGCUUGAGUCUUGUAGAGGGGGGUAGAAUUCCAGGUGUAGCGGUGAAAUGCGUAGAGAUCUGGAGGAAUACCGGUGGCGAAGGCGGCCCCCUGGACAAAGACUGACGCUCAGGUGCGAAAGCGUGGGGAGCAAACAGGAUUAGAUACCCUGGUAGUCCACGCUGUAACGAUGUCGACUUGGAGGUUGUUCCCUUGAGGAGUGGCUUCCGGAGCUAACGCGUUAAGUCGACCGCCUGGGGAGUACGGCCGCAAGGUUAAAACUCAAAUGAAUUGACGGGGGCCCGCACAAGCGGUGGAGCAUGUGGUUUAAUUCGAUGCAACGCGAAGAACCUUACCUACUCUUGACAUCCAGAGAACUUAGCAGAGA